rnacentral:rRNA from 1 species
AAUACUACCUAGUGACCGAUAGCGUAUAGUACCGUGAGGGAAAGGUGAAAAGAACCCCGGGAGGGGAGUGAAAUAGAACCUGAAACCCUGCACUUACAAGCUGUGGAAGCACAUUUCUUGUGUGACCGCGUACUUUUUGUAGAACGGGCCAACGAGUUACGUUAAGUAGCCAGGUUAAGCACUUAAGGUGCGGAGCCGUAGCGAAAGCGAGUUUUAACUGAGCGUUCAGUUACUUGACGUAGACCCGAAACCGGGCGACCUACCCAUGAGCAGGA